rnacentral:rRNA from 1 species
GCUUGUGUACAUGUGCCUGGUUAGUACUUGGAUGGGAGACCGCCUGGGAAUACCAGGUGCUGUAAGCU